CCUUUGACGUUAGCGGCGGACGGGUGAGUAACACGUGGGUAACCUACCUAUAAGACUGGGAUAACUUCGGGAAACCGGAGCUAAUACCGUAUAAUAUUUCGAACCGCAUGGUUCGAUAGUGAAAGAUGGUUUUGCUAUCACUUAUAGAUGGACCCGCGCCGUAUUAGCUAGUUGGUAAGGUAACGGCUUACCAAGGCGACGAUACGUAGCCUACCUGAGAGGGUGAUCGGCCACACUGGAACUGAGACACGGUCCAGACUCCUACGGGAGGCAGCAGUC
rnacentral:rRNA from 1 species